rnacentral:rRNA from 1 species
ACAUACGACCAUACGCGGCAGAGAACUCGGGAUCCCCUCUGCUCUCCCAUAGAUAAGCUGCUGACGGCGGAGUUAGUACUCAGGUCGGUGACGACUGGGGAAUCCUCCGUGUUGUAUGUC